UACGUAGGGACCAAGCGUUGUCCGGAAUCAUUGGGCGUAAAGAGCGUGUAGGCGGCUUGUUAAGUCUUGCGUGAAAUCUCGGGACUCAACCCCGAGCGGUCGUGAGAAACUGGCAGGCUAGGGUGCGGGAGAGGAGAGUUGAAUUCCUGGUGUAGCGGUGAAAUGCGCAGAUAUCAGGAAGAACACCCGUGGCGAAGGCGGCUCUCUGGAACGCAACUGACGCUGAGACGCGAAAGCGUGGGGAGCAAACAGG
rnacentral:rRNA from 1 species